rnacentral:rRNA from 1 species
CCUACGGGAGGCAGCAGUGGGGGAUAUUGCACAAUGGGGGAAACCCUGAUGCAGCGACGCCGCGUGUGGGAAGACGGUCUUCUGGAUUGUAAACCACUGUCCCCAGGGACGAAAAUGACGGUACCUGGGGAGGAAGCUCCGGCUAACUACGUGCCAGCAGCCGCUGUAAUACGUAGGGGGCAAGCGUUGUCCGGAAUUACUGGGGGUAAAGGGAGCGUAGGCGGGAUGGCAAGUUGGGGGUCAAACCUACCGGCUCAACCGAUAGUCGCGGGCAAAACUGCAACUCUUGAGUGAAGUAGAGGCAGGCGGAAUUCGUGGUGUAGCGGUGAAAUGCGUAGAUAUUAGGAGGAACACCAGUGGCGAAGGCGGCCUGCUGGGCUUUUACUGACGCUGAGGCUCGAAAGUGUGGGGAGCAAACAGGAUUAGAUACCCUAGUAGUC